GAUGAACGCUGGCGGCGUGCUUAACACAUGCAAGUCGAACGAAGCAUGCAGGCAAAACCCUUCGGGGUGGAGCCGGCAUGACUGAGUGGCGGACGGGUGAGUAACGCGUGGAUAACCUGCCUUACACAGGGGGAUAACAGCCAGAAAUGGCUGCUAAUACCGCAUAAGCGCACAGGACCGCAUGGUCCAGUGUGAAAAGCUCCGGCGGUGUAAGAUGGAUCCGCGUCUGAUUAGCUGGUUGGCGGGGUAACGGCCCACCAAGGCGACGAUCAGUAGCCGGCCUGAGAGGGUGGACGGCCACAUUGGGACUGAGACACGGCCCAGACUCCUACGGGAGGCAGCAGUGGGGAAUAUUGCACAAUGGGGGAAACCCUGAUGCAGCGACGCCGCGUGAAGGAAGAAGUAUCUCGGUAUGUAAACUUCUAUCAGCAGGGAAGAAAAUGACGGUACCUGACUAAGAAGCCCCGGCUAAUUACGUGCCAGCCGCCGCCGUAACAC
rnacentral:rRNA from 1 species